ensembl:lncRNA
GUGUGUGUGUGUGUGUGUGUGUGUGUGUGUUGUUCCACAGCUUUCUCUAUAUCUUGUCCUAUAUGGAAAUGGAAGGUGUCCUCGCCUGUCCUCUACCUCACCCCAACCCACCCCCCCUCAGUGCUGUGCCUGUGUCCACUAUGCUUCCUGACCCACUAAUUGAGGUGUCUGAGUCAACCUACCAUAAGUGGUGUAACUCAAAACAGACAAUGUAGAUUUGAGUCUGGGCUCCUGUGACCCAUUUUAAGAAUUGUACUGUAUAAUAAUGAAUGAUGUGUAACACCACAAACCAUAGGGGGGUCCAGACCCACAGUCUGGGAACCACUGCUCUAAAGAGUGGAAACCAUAGGGGGGUCCAGACCCACAGUCUGGGAACCACUGCUCUAAAGAGUGGAAACCAUAGGGGGGUCCAGACCCACAGUCUGAGUGGAAAUGCAUGGAUAAUGCUGGAACCAGGGAAGGAACCAGGCUGUCCAAACACGCAGAAACCAGGGAAAGAACCAGGCUGUCCAAACACGCAGAAACCAGGGAAGGAACCAGGCUGUCCAAACACGCAGAAACCAGGGAAAGAACCAGGCUGUCCAAACACACAUGGACAAUGCUGGAACCAGGGAAAGAACCAGGCUGUCCAAACACGCAUGGACAAUGCUGGAACCAGGGAAGGAACCAGGCUGUCCAAACACGCAUGGACAAUGCUGGAACCAGGGAAGGAACCAGGCUGUCCAACAUGAGUUCACAGCAGAACCAGGCUGUCCAAACACGCAGAAACCAGGGAAAGAACCAG